GUGCUAGCUUCAGCAGCACAUUUACAAAAGCUGGAAUGAUACAGAGUAGAUUAGCAGGGCCCCUGCGCAAAGAUGAAUGCAAAUUUGCAAAAUACAUAAAAAACUCAU
ensembl:snRNA U6 U6 spliceosomal RNA